AUAUAGGGAUGAAAGCCAUGAA
rnacentral:miRNA from 17 species